rnacentral:tRNA from 1 species
ACUCCUGUAGACCCAAUCGGCAGAGGUCGCGGGCUUAAACCCCGUGCAGUAUGAGUUCGAAUCUCAUCAGGAGUACCA